rnacentral:rRNA from 1 species
AUUGAACGCUGGCGGCAGGCCUAACACAUGCAAGUCGAGCGGAUGAAGGGAGCUUGCUCCUGGAUUCAGCGGCGGACGGGUGAGUAAUGCCUAGGAAUCUGCCUGGUAGUGGGGGAUAACGUCCGGAAACGGGCGCUAAUACCGCAUACGUCCUGAGGGAGAAAGUGGGGGAUCUUCGGACCUCACGCUAUCAGAUGAGCCUAGGUCGGAUUAGCUAGUUGGUGGGGUAAAGGCCUACCAAGGCGACGAUCCGUAACUGGUCUGAGAGGAUGAUCAGUCACACUGGAACUGAGACACGGUCCAGACUCCUACGGGAGGCAGCAGUGGGGAAUAUUGGACAAUGGGCGAAAGCCUGAUCCAGCCAUGCCGCGUGUGUGGAGAAGGUCUUCGGAUUGUAAAGCACUUUAAGUUGGGAGGAAGGGCAGUAAGUUAAUACCUUGCUGUUUUGACGUUACCAACAGAAUAAGCACCGGCUAACUUCGU